AUUGAACGCUGGCGGCAUGCCUUACACAUGCAAGUCGAACGGCAGCACGGGUGCUUGCACCUGGUGGCGAGUGGCGAACGGGUGAGUAAUACAUCGGAACAUGUCCUGUAGUGGGGGAUAGCCCGGCGAAAGCCGGAUUAAUACCGCAUACGAUCCACGGAUGAAAGCGGGGGACCUUCGGGCCUCGCGCUAUAGGGUUGGCCGAUGGCUGAUUAGCUAGUUGGUGGGGUAAAGGCCUACCAAGGCGACGAUCAGUAGCUGGUCUGAGAGGACGACCAGCCACACUGGGACUGAGACACGGCCCAGACUCCUACGGGAGGCAGCAGUGGGGAAUUUUGGACAAUGGGCGAAAGCCUGAUCCAGCAAUGCCGCGUGUGUGAAGAAGGCCUUCGGGUUGCAAAGCACUUUUGUCCGGAAAGAAAUCCUUGACUCUAAUACAGUCGGGGGAUGACGGUACCGGAAGAAUAAGCACCGGCUAACUACGUG
rnacentral:rRNA from 1 species